UCUCAAGAUGGAGACCGGCCCAUGUGAGGAAGAUCAUCGGAAACCUGACCUCAUGCCCAUUUCAUGGUUACCAUAAAGCUUGGGCCAAGGGCUACAGCCAGCUUGGACUCAUGGGGAAAGCCUCCCCAAGAGAAUGAACCCCUAGCCCCCAGCAAUUUCUUUGUCAUCGUGGGCUUCUUUCCUCACACAGAAACCCAGUAAGAGUGUGGCGGGGCUGUGAGAGCCGUCAUCCAUCACUACGCGUUAAACCCAAGGCAAUUCCAGAAAUUGAGAUUGCUGAACUGAACACCACGUCAUGUGCAUACAGCCAGAGUCCAGCCUGCUGCUGGUCAGAGGUCAGGGGUCAAAGGUGGACCCUGACCUCAAGCUGGUGCCAAAGACAUGAGGACACGUGAGAACUUGACCUGCUGAGAAUCCAUCAGGGAAGAAGAGCCACACCCAAACAGUGCUGAUUCAGACCAGAGGUGCUGAUCUUUUCGCCCGGACUCUCCGGCCACCCCUCCUGCGAUCGGCGUGUGUCAUAUGAGGACAACGUGUGUGGCAUUAACAGUGGCAUCGGGGAGCAUCAGGGGUGUUUAGAAUCUACCCUUUAGAACUGAAAUGAUAUGUCUGGCUUUGUUUCCAGGGUUACAGAAACUUCUUUGGUCUAUUUCCAUGACUGUGUCCAGUGGAAAUGCAUUACUUUCUGCUUUUCAGACUGCGCUACCUCCCUCCAGGAUAAUGGAGGCAUACAGUGGCAUCUCUAGUUGGGAGUUGGCUUGGGUCGAGCCUUUGCAUUACCUGGCAAAACCGGCUUUAUUUUCUAAAGCAGUUUUAGGGUCAUAGAAAAUUUAGUUGUAGAAAGUACAGCAUUUCCAGCUACCCCUUGUCCCCACAAAUGCACAGUCUGUCCCUCUGCCAACAUCCCGGACCAGAGUGGUACAUUUGUUAUAAUCCAUGGACCUACGCUGACGCCUUAUUAUCAUCCAAAGUCCAUAGUUUACAUUAUGGCUCACUCUUGCUGGUGUGCAUUCUCUGGGUUUGGAGGAAGAUAUAAUGAAAUGUAUCCACCAUACAUUUCAUUCGCCUAAAAAUCCUCUGUGCUCCGCCUAUUUAUCCCUCCCUCUCCCCAACCCUGGUGACCACAAAUCUUUUUACUUUUCCACAAUGUCACAGAGUUGGGAUCCUAUGGUAUGUAGCCUUUUCUGAUUGACUUCUUUAAAUACACCUUACUAAAGUAAUAAGCAUUUAGGGUUCUUCCAUGUCCUUUUGUAUCUUAAUAACUCAUUUCUUUUUAGCGCCAAAUAAUCCUCCAUUGUCAGGAUGUACCACAGUUUCUUAUUUAUCCAUUCAUCUACUAAAGGACAUUUUGGUUGCUUCCAAGUUUUGGCAAUUGUGAAUAAAGCUGUUAUAAGCAUCCAUGUGCAGGUUUCUGUAGAGAUGAGUUUUUAAUUCACUUGGGGAAACACCAAGGAGCAUGAUUGCUGGAUAUAUGGAGAGAGUGUAUUUCAUUUUGUAAGCAAGUGCCAUCCUGUCUUCCAGGGUGGCUGUCCCAUUUUGCUUUCCCAUCAGCAAUGAAUGAGAGUUGCUGUUUCUCCACAUCCUCACCAGGAUCCAUGUUCUGGAUUUUGGUGAUUCUAAUAGAGAGCUGUGAUAACACAAGGGAGUCGUGUCAACCUCGUCUCAUGCACCAGCUGAACUCGGUGACACCAGCAACUUGGAUCCCGACAGACCGGGUGUUACGACCGCACCUCCAGGGAGGCUGCCCAGGGCUGGACCGCGCUUCUCUCAAGGUGCUUUGUGUGCACUGUGGGGCAGCUUGACCUGAGCGAAGGCAGCAAACGCGCCUUGAGUCGGAACCCCAGCCGGAGUCAGUAACACAGUGGUUCUCAAACUUCAGCCUGUGCCUGAGUCACCUGCGAGACGUGUUAAAACAUAGAGUCUUAUAACCGCCUCUCCCCAGAGACUCCGAUUCAGUCGGUCUGGGGCAGGGAUGGUGAUUUUGCAUGUCUAGCGAGUUCCUAAGUGCUCCUGGUUGGGAGAUCACACUUUGAAAACCACAAGCCUACUCCAGCAACUUGACUUAGACAGCUCUUCCUCUCCAGGUCUUCUGUGCCCUAAGGGACUUCAGAGCUGGGGAGAAAAGGGAAUGGAAGCCAAAAGAUGGAAACAACCAAAUAUCCAUCAACAGGUGAAUGGACAGGCAGAAGGUGGUAUGUCCAUACAGUGGAAUACUAUUCCACCAGGAAAAGGAACUCGAUACUGACACACAUUACAACAUGGAUGAACCGGGAAGGCAUUAUGCGGAAAGGAAGCAGCCAGCUGGGGCCUGCUGGGGCCACAUGGUGCACGAUUCCACGGAUAGGAGAUGCCCAGAAGAAGCAAAUUCAUAGAGACUGAAAGCAGAUUGGGGGUUGCCAGGAGGUAGGACGGAAUGGAGAGCCACUGCCUAUUGGGUUUCCAUUUGGGAUGAUGCAAACGUUCUGGAACUAGACAGAGGUGAUGGGUGGACAACACUGUGAAUGUACCUAAUGCAAUUGAACUGAACUCUUUAAAAUGA